rnacentral:rRNA from 1 species
AUUAAACGCUGGCGGCAUGCCUUACACAUGCAAGUCGAACGGCAGCACGGGGGCAACCCUGGUGGCGAGUGGCGAACGGGUGAGUAAAGCAUCGGAACGUGCCCUGGAGUGGGGGAUAACGUAGCGAAAGUUACGCUAAUACCGCAUAUUCUGUGAGCAGGAAAGCAGGGGAUCGCAAGACCUUGCGCUUUGGGAGCGGCCGAUGUCGGAUUAGCUAGUUGGUGGGGUAAAGGCCUACCAAGGCGACGAUCCGUAGCGGGUCUGAGAGGAUGAUCCGCCACACUGGGACUGAGACACGG